GACGAACGCUGGCGGCGUGCUUAACACAUGCAAGUCGAACGGAAAGGCCCCAAGUUGCUUGGUUACUCGAGUGGCGAACGGGUGAGUAACACGUGUGGGAUCUGCCCUUCACUCUGGGAUAAGCCUGGGGAACUGGGGCGAAUACCGGGGAGGACCGUUCGUUAGGGUGUGCGGUGGAAAGUUUUUCGGUGUAGGAUGAGCCCGCAGCCGAUCAGCUUGUUGGUUAGGUAAUUGCCUACAAAGGCGGCGACGGGUAGCCGGCCUGAGAGGGUGUACGGCCACCUUGGUACUGCGAGACGGACCAGAAUCGUACGGGCGGCAGCAGUGGGGAAUCUUGCACAAUGGGGGCAAGCCUGAUGCAGAGACGCCGCGUGGGGGAUGCCGGCCUUCGGGUUAUAAACCUCUUUCGGAAGGGACGAAGCUUUCGUGACGGUACCUAAACAAGAAGCAACGGCUAACUACGUG
rnacentral:rRNA from 1 species